AUCUACAGCCAUACCACCCUGAAAGCUCCCUUCUCCUCCUCUCCUCUGAUCUCGGAAGCUAAGCAGGGUCGGGCCUGGUUAGUAUUUGGCUGGAAGAAC
rnacentral:rRNA from 1 species